rnacentral:antisense_RNA from 1 species
CUUCACCGACCCGAGCAGCACCGGCCGGUCCGCCGGCCGCCGGCCGUAGGUGGCCAGCAGCGCCUGGGCCUC